rnacentral:lncRNA from 1 species
GUCUCUAUCCUUGCCUUCUCAAAUCUCAGCCGACGGAUACAUCUAUUCAUCACCACCACCACCCAAAAAGUACCCUCCGGUGUCUCCUCCUUAUCACUACCCUUCACCACCACCACCACCAGUGCACUCACCACCACCUCCUUAUCACUACCCUUCCCCACCACCUCCUAAGAAGGCUCCAUCUCCUUCUUACCAUUACUCUUCUCCACCACCACCUCCAAAGAAGACUUACAAGUACCAUUCUCCUCCUCCACCAGUGCAUGUUGCCCCUCCAAAGGCACCAUACCAUUAUGCAUCACCCCCUCCUCCUCCUAAGAAGCCAUACAAGUACCCUUCUCCACCACCUCCGGUGGUUGUUGUAAGCCCACCAAAGGCUCCUUACCAUUAUCCAUCACCACCACCCCCUCCCAAGAAGUCUCCAGCAUACCAUUACCAUUCUCCUCCACCACCUAAGGCUCCUUACCACUAUGCAUCCCCUCCACCACCUCCUAAGAAACCAUACAAGUACUCAUCACCCCCUCCACCAGUGCAUGUUUACCCUCACCCUCACCCACUGCCCCACCCACACCCUCACCCACUGCCCCACCCACACCCACUGCCUCAUCCACACCCACUGCCCCACCCGCACCCACUCCCACACCACCACUCUCCACCACCUAAGAAGCCAUACAAGUACUCUUCCCCUCCACCUCCAGUCCCUACCCACCCUCUCCCACACCCACAUCCUCACCCACUACCCCACCCACACCCCCUACCACACCCACACCCUCUACCUCAUCCUCACCCAGUGUACCACUCUCCACCACCACCUAAGAAGUCUUACAAGUAUGCUUCACCACCACCUCCAGUUCAUCCUUACCCUCACCCACAUCCUAUCCCACACCCUGUUCCCCACCCUUAUCCUCACCCAGUGUACCACUCCCCACCACCACCAGUCCACCCAGCUCCCUACAUUCCUCACCCAGUGUACCACCACCACUCUCCUCCACCAACUCCACAGAAGAAGCCUGGUUACAAGUACCCAUCUCCUCCACCUCCUUCCCAUUCCUACAUCUAUGCUUCACCUCCCCCUCCUUACCACCAUUAGAUAGCA